UGAAUACGAGAUGCUACGGCGUCGAAGCAGUCUAUGUCAUACUUCCAAGAAAAGCUCGCACUGUCAUAAACAAAUAAUGCCUGUACCAUAACCGACACAGGUGGGUAGGUAGAGUAUACUAAGGGGCGCGAGAUAACUCUCUCUAAGGAACUCGGCAAAAUGACUCCGUAACUUCGGGAGAAGGAGUGCCUUAUUUAUAAGGUUGCAAUAACAAGAUCCAAGCAACUGUUUACCAAAAACACAGGUCUCCGCUAAGUCGUAAGACGAUGUAUGGGGGCUGACGCCUGCCCAGUGCCAGAAGGUUAAAGAAGUUGGUUAGCAUCCGCGAAGCUGAUAACUGAAGCCCUGGUGAACGGCGGCCGUAACAAUAACGGUCCUAAGGUAGCGAAAUUCCUUGUCGGGUAAGUUCCGACCCGCACGAAAGGCGUAAUGAUUUGGAUACUGUCUCGGAGAGGGGCUCGGUGAAAUAGACUUGUCUGUGAAGAUGCGGACUACCUGCACCAGGACAGAAAGACCCUAUGAAGCUUUACUGUAACCUGAAAUUGAAAUUGGACUUUACUUGCGCAGUAUAGGUGGGAGGCGUUGAGAAUAUUCUUGCGGGAUUAUUGGAGCCAUCAGUGAGAUACCACUCUUGUAAUGUUAGAUUUCUAACUUUGUAUCAUUAUCUGGUCAAAGAACAGUUUCAGGCGGGCAGUUUGACUGGGGCGGUCGCCUCCUAAACGGUAACGGAGGCGCACAAAGGUUUCCUCUGAACGGGUAGAAAUCGUAUCUAGAGUGUAAAGGCAUAAGGAAGCUUGACUGUGAGACCUACAAGUCGAGCAGGGACGAAAGUCGGUCUUAGUGAUCUGACGGUGCUGAGUGGAAAGGCCGUCACUCAACGGAUAAAAGUUACUCUAAGGAUAACAGGCUGAUCUCCCCCAAGAGUUCACAUCGACGGGGAGGUUUGGCACCUCGAUGUCGGCUCAUCGCAUCCUGGGGCGGUAGUACGUCCCAAGGGUUGGGCUGUUCGCCCAUGAAAGCGGUACGCGAGCUGGGUUCAGAACGUCGUGAGACAGUUCGGUCCAUAUCCGGUGUAGGCGUUAGAAUAUUGAGAGGAGCCUUCUUUAGUACGAGAGGACCGAGAAGGACAUACCUCUGGUGUACCAGUUAUCGUGCCAACGGUAAACGCUGGGUAGCUAUGUGUGGAGUGGAUAACCGCUGAAAGCAUCUAAGUGGGAAGCCCACCUCAAGAUAAGUAUUCUCACC
rnacentral:rRNA from 1 species